rnacentral:rRNA from 1 species
UACGAAGGGGGCUAGCGUUGCUCGGAAUUACUGGGCGUAAAGCGUGCGCAGGCGGCUUCUCAAGUCAGUGGUGAAAGCCCGGAGCUCAACUCCGGAACUGCCAUUGAAACUGUUUAGCUGGAGUAUGAGAGAGGUGAGUGGAAUUCCCAGUGUAGAGGUGAAAUUCGUAGAUAUUGGGAAGAACACCGGUGGCGAAGGCGGCUCACUGGCUCAUUACUGACGCUCAUGCGCGACAGCGUGGGGAUCAAACAGG